GAUUUGCAGAUAUAUUUAUCAAGGUGUUUUUGACUACUAUUUAAAAGAGUUAGUUCAUCAUAUUGGACUACACCAUUUUAAAGAACUCAAGUGGUGUUCACAUGAGUGAAUAUUAAUGCUCUGCAUUCCUUUUCUCUUAAACAUAAUUUUUUCAUUGGAUUUUUCUAGUAGGAUUUUUAAUGAGUUAGCAUCUUUACGCUUUAUAGAGUGUUUUAUAUAAUGGGCAUCUAAAAAGAAAUGUAAUGAAUUUUUAGAUAUGGAUGUCUAUCAUGAAUUAUAUCAAAAUUCUAGAUAUACUUUUAUUUCAAGAUGUACUUAUUCUCCAAAUAUUAUAUUUUUAUAUAUAUGAUUUACUAUGGAAUAAUACACUAGGGAGUUACUCUCUUUCUCACACCCACCCACAACAGUCCUUCAAAAAAAUCUCUCUAGAAAUGUCUCUCUGCCUGCUCUCUACUUCAUCUAUUAAGAUACUUUUCAACGACCGGGGCUUGGCUUCCCUUGCCACCGUCGGUCCGAUCAGUAUCUAUAAUUUCAGAUUUGGAGGAUCAAUUGAGGUAUUUUGGUGGUGGCUUAUUUGUGUGGUGCGGUUCUCCGCUCCAUCUCUGCUUCAAAUUCUAGGUUGCUAGUGGUGGAUCUAUAGAGUAUCGAUUCCUUCCUGCUGUUGGGCCUUGGUCUCUAUUCCGCAGGUGCUUUCCUCGGUCGUUUCUGGUGGUCCCAUUGAAUUUUGUUGGUUGCUCUUCCUUGAUCUAGUUAGCAAUGAAAUAUAUCUGUUGGUGGUUGGUUUAUCUUGUGGUUUGAGUUGGUUUCUCUGGCUUGAUUUCAAGGAAGAAGGGUUUCAGCUCUUUUUAGCAUUGUGUCGUGGGUGGUUGAAGUUUAAUGGUGUGUCUUUUCUUUUCCCUGGUGUUGGUUCUCUGAUGUCUACCUCGUGGCUCCUGGUGUGUCUCUAGAGCAGUGUAGUGAGGUGCAGUCUCUGUUCUUCCCCAAAUAAAGUUUGGCUUUCGAUGUCUCUCUCUCCAUUCCUCCUUCUCCGACGGUUUCAUUUGCUAGGGUUUUAUGGCUUUGAUUUUGACAUGGGUCUAUAACUUGUUCUAGUCAUUUGUUUUAUGUUAUGUUUUUUGGUAUCAGAGAAUAUGUUGAUUUUGUUGACUUUUGUUUCUAGAAGAAGUUGUUUGUUUUUGUCAGUUUUAGGCCCUGAGACUUGAGAGUAUAUAUUAUCCGUUAGAUUAGUAUCUCAAAAAUAUAUUUUUUCUGAUGUAUUUUUCUAAGUUCAAUGAAAAUUCUAGUGUGAAAAAGGAGUUAUUCUCUUUC